UACGUAGGGUGCAAGCGUUGUCCGGAAUUAUUGGGCGUAAAGAGCUCGUAGGCGGUCUGUCGCGUCGGAUGUGAAAAUCAGGGCUCAACCCUGGACCUGCAUUCGAUACGGGCAGACUAGAGUUCGGCAGGGGAGACUGGAAUUCCUGGUGUAGCGGUGAAAUGCGCAGAUAUCAGGAGGAACACCGGUGGCGAAGGCGGGUCUCUGGGCCGAAACUGACGCUGAGGAGCGAAAGCGUGGGGAGCAAACAGG
rnacentral:rRNA from 1 species